rnacentral:rRNA from 1 species
CGUGCUGGCGAGUAGACGUGAAGGCGAGCCGAGGAACCAAGCUUAAGAGGCGAGAGAGUCAGUCAGAGUAGACCCGAAACCGGGUCGAAGUCUACCCACUGUCCAGGUUGAAGUUGCCGUAAGUAGGCAAUGGAGGACCGAACGCACAUCCGUUGAAAAGGGUGGCGAUGAGGUGUGGGUAGGGGAGAAAGUUCCAAUCGAACCCGGAGAUAGCUGGUUCUCCUCGAAAUAGCUUUAGGGCUAGCCUCGAUAGAGUCUUGCGGAGGUAGAGCACUGAAUUUCCUAGGGGGCGUCAAAGCUUACCGAAGAAUAUCAAACUCCGAAUGCCGUAAAGAUGCUUAUCGGGAGUCAGACUACACGAGAUAAGUUGGGUGGUCAAAAGGGAAAGAGCCCAGACCUCCGGCUAAGGUCCCAAAGUGCGUGUUAAGUGGAAAAGGAUGUGGGAUUUCAAAGACAACCAGGAUGUUGGCUCAGAAGCAGCCAUCCAUUCAAAGAGUGCGUAAUAGCUCACUGGUCGAGACGGUCCUGCGCCGUAAAAUGUCCCGGUCGACGCGGCCG